GAUGAACGCUGGCGGCAUGCCUAAUACAUGCAAGUCGAACGAAGUCUUUAGGAAGCUUGCUUCCAAAGAGACUUAGUGGCGAACGGGUGAGUAACACGUAGGUAACCUGCCCAUGUGCCCGGGAUAACUGCUGGAAACGGUAGCUAAAACCGGAUAGGUAUGAGGGAGGCAUCUUCCUCAUAUUAAAGCACCUUCGGGUGUGAACAUGGAUGGACCUGCGGCGCAUUAGCUGGUUGGUGAGGUAACGGCCCACCAAGGCGAUGAUGCGUAGCCGACCUGAGAGGGUGAACGGCCACAUUGGGACUGAGACACGGCCCAAACUCCUACGGGAGGCAGCAGUAGGGAAUUUUCGUCAAUGGGGGGAACCCUGAACGAGCAAUGCCGCGUGUGUGAAGAAGGUCUUCGGAUCGUAAAGCACUGUUGUAAGUGAAGAAUGCCACAUAGAGGAAAUGCUAUGUGGGUGACGGUAGCUUACCAGAAAGCCACGGCUAACUACGUGCCAGCAGCCGCGGUAAUACGUAGGUGGCAAGCGUUAUCCGGAAUCAUUGGGCGUAAAGGGUGCGUAGGUGGCACGAUAAGUCUGAAGUAAAAGGCAACAGCUCAACUGUUGUAUGCUUUGGAAACUGUCGAGCUAGAGUGCAACAGAGGUAGGCGGAAUUCGUGGUGUAGCGGUGAAAUGCUUAGAUAUCACGAAGAACUCCGAUUGCGAAGGCAGCUUACUGGAUUGUAACUGACGCUGAUGCUCGAAAGUGUGGGUAUCAAACAGGAUUAGAUACCCUGGUAGUCCACACAGUAAACGAUGAAUACUCGCUGUUGGCGAUAUACAGUCAGCGGCCAAGCGAAAGCAUUAAGUAUUCCACCUGGGGAGUACGCCGGCAACGGUGAAACUCAAAGGAAUUGACGGGGGCCCGCACAAGCGGAGGAACAUGUGGUUUAAUUCGAUGAUACGCGAGGAACCUUACCCGGGCUUAAAUUGCAACUGACGGAACCGGAAACGGUUCUUUCUUCGGACAGUUGUGAAGGUGCUGCAUGGUUGUCGUCAGCUCGUGCCGUGAGGUGUCGGCUUAAGUGCCAUAACGAGCGCAACCCUUACGGGUAGUUACCAUCAGGUUAUGCUGGGGACUCUACCCGGACUGCCGUCGUAAGAUGUGAGGAAGGUGGGGAUGACGUCAAAUCAGCACGGCCCUUACGUCCGGGGCUACACACGUGUUACAAUGGGGGGUACAGAAGGCAGCUACACGGCGACGUGGUGCUAAUCCCAAAAGCCUCUCUCAGUUCGGAUUGGAGUCUGCAACCCGACUCCAUGAAGCUGGAUUCGCUAGUAAUCGCGCAUCAGCCACGGCGCGGUGAAUACGUUCCCGGGCCUUGUACU
rnacentral:rRNA from 1 species